CCUGGUAGCUCAGAUGGUAAAGCAUCUGCCUACAAUGCAGGAGACCUGGGUUCGAUUCCUGGGUCAGGA
rnacentral:tRNA from 1 species